CCUACGGGCGGCAGCAGUGGGGAAUAUUGGACAAUGGGGGCAACCCUGAUCCAGCCAUGCCGCGUGUGUGAAGAAGGCCCUCGGGUUGUAAAGCACUUUCAGUGAGGAAGAACGCCUGGUGGUUAAUACCCAUCAGGAAAGACAUCACUCACAGAAGAAGCACCGGCUAACUCCGUGCCAGCAGCCGCGGUAAUACGGAGGGUGCGAGCGUUAAUCGGAAUUACUGGGCGUAAAGCGCGCGUAGGUGGCAUGAUAAGCCGGUUGUGAAAGCCCCGGGCUCAACCUGGGAACGGCAUCCGGAACUGUCAAGCUAGAGUGCAGGAGAGGAAGGUAGAAUUCCCGGUGUAGCGGUGAAAUGCGUAGAGAUCGGGAGGAAUACCAGUGGCGAAGGCGGCCUUCUGGACUGACACUGACACUGAGGUGCGAAAGCGUGGGUAGCAAACAGGAUUAGAUACCCUAGUAGUC
rnacentral:rRNA from 1 species